ACGCACCUUUAUGGUCGGUGGAAUCACAGCAGGUGACUGCGGUUCUGGUCAUGGUUUGGUUUGAUGAAACUGACGUAGGCGUUCGUAAGGUCUGCUCAGACGGAGCUGAAGGAAAGAACUCUGCAGCAGCGUUUCCCCAAAGCCAGAGGCUCUCCACAGUCGGGUCGCUGCCUCGCUGUGAUCCCUCAAUUCCCAGAAUUCCCACCCGCAUCGCCCCCGCCUGCAGAGCAAGAAUGGAUGGCUGGAUCCUCUCCAUAAAUAACCGGCAGAGCGGAGCCAAACCCCCACCAUGUUUUUCCCUCCACGCUUUGUUUCAGAGCCCGGACAGAGAGCGGCCGCGUCCAAACCUGCUGGAUCCACCGAGCGGAACCGCAAAUCCUUGGCACACACUGGGAUAAAGGGAAAACAGGAGCGUGGAGUUUGGGGCAGCGCUGUCGGGGGGAGCCAAUCAGGAAGAGGCUGCAGCGACCAACAAGCCGCCGUCUGCCACCUCCACAGCCUGCAGGGCGUCAGGUGUGAGAGUGGACAGCUUAUCGUCACCUUCCUCUGACAUCCACGCAAACUUAAAUAUGUCUUCACAUAAAAAUCCUCCUGCAGCAUCAUGGAUUAUUAGUUAUCACUCAGGAACCCUGUGAACUUUUAAAUUUCACCGGGAUUUUAGGGGAAAGUCCAGCAUAAAGCAGCUCAUGAUGGCACAGAGGAAGGAAAAUUUACAUUUCUAUUCAACUCCAUGGGAGUGGCAGCAUCAUGCUGCGACUUUAAGGUCAUAAUUCUAACUUUUACUUUUAGGAAUUAGGAUUAUAAAACUUUCAAAUGUGCCUUUAAACUUGU